GUGCCCGCGCGCGCGUAGAAUCCUACAGCACGCCGGGACUGCGUUUCCUAAGAAAAGCUCAGCUCUCAGUUUUGUGCCCGUCUUAUUGCCGCUCUCAUUGUCUUUGUCGGCAGUGAUAAAGAGAGCAGUUCAUUCGGGGGCCUGUUUUUGGAAUAAGAAAAAGGCAUUGCUGUUUUCUGACUUUGAGUGAAGAAAGAAGGGACUCCUCUGGAAUUUCCUAAGGAAUUUAUUCGGACAGCCCACGUUGCGAGGGCUUUGCAUUCUUCCGCCUGGGUAUAGAAUGUGACCAACCAUUCCGCACUAGGGAAAUUCGGAGGAGUUCUGUUCUUUCGUCGCUCUGGUCCGAGGCAGCAAUCGCAGCUGAUUAUUCCAAACGGGUGGGGGCAAAGGGGGCAUUCAUUUCACUGGUGUGUCGGUGAGGUAAAACCGCAGCAUCGGGCAGCAUGUUGGCACCUGCGUGAUCCCACCAAAGAAGCCUCAUUAGUCGUUCUCUUUCCUGAGACGUCAACCACAGGAUGAGGCCUGCGGCAGGUCUCGGGAGAGAGAAUGCUCCAUGACUUUCACACCUUCGACCUCAAGCUCUUGAACUCUUCGGAAGUUUGCUUGAGUGCUGAAAGGCUGUGAAUACCCUGCAUCUGAGAAAUCAGACCAGACUGACUCACAGGGCUCUGUGAGCCAGUGCCACCGAGGCUGCCAAAGCAUGCUGGUGCCAAGCUGUCCCACCAUGCGCAGAGCCAG